rnacentral:rRNA from 1 species
CCUACGGGUGGCUGCAGUGGGGAAUAUUGGACAAUGGGCGAAAGCCUGAUCCAGCCAUGCCGCGUGUGUGAAGAAGGCCUUCGGGUUGUAAAGCACUUUCAGUGGGGAAGAAAGCCUUGGGGCUAAUACCCUCGAGGAAGGACAUCACCCACAGAAGAAGCACCGGCUAACUCCGGGCCAGCAGCCGCGGUAAUACGGAGGGUGCGAGCGUUAAUCGGAAUUACUGGGCGUAAAGCGCGCGUAGGCGGUCUGAUAAGCCGGUUGUGAAAGCCCCGGGCUCAACUUGGGAACGGCAUCCGGAACUGUCAGGCUAGAGUGCAGGAGAGGAAGGUAGAAUUCCCGGUGUAGCGGUGAAAUGCGUAGAGAUCGGGAGGAAUACCAGUGGCGAAGGCGGCCUUCUGGACUGACACUGACGCUGAGGUGCGAAAGCGUGGGUAGCAAACAGGAUUAGAUACCCCAGUAGUC